GAUCUGAACUUAGAUGGGAUUACCCGCUGAACUUAA
rnacentral:rRNA from 1 species